UACAGAGGUCCCGAGCGUUGUUCGGAUUCACUGGGCGUAAAGGGUGCGCAGGUGGGCUGGUAAGUUCGAUGUGAAAGCCCCGGGCUUAACCCGGGAAAGGCAUUGGAUACUACUGGUCUGGAGGAUCGGAGGGGGGACUGGAAUUCUUGGUGUAGCAGUGAAAUGCGUAGAUAUCAAGAGGAACACCAGUGGCGAAGGCGAGUCCCUGGACGAUACCUGACACUGAGGCACGAAAGCCAAGGGAGCAAACAGG
rnacentral:rRNA from 1 species